ACUCAAAUGAAUAGACGGGGAGGCGCACAACCGGUGGAGCGUGUGGUUCAAUUCGAGACGAAGCGAAAAACCUCACCAGGGUUUGAAACGCUAGCGUCCUAUGUUUAUGAAAGUAGACAAAUUCGCAAGAAGGCUAGUACAGGUGUUGCAUGGCUGUCGUCAGCUCUAGGCGUGAGCUGUAGGCUUAAGUGCCAUAUAGAGCGCAACUCUUGUCCAAUGUUAAAUAGUCAUUGGAGACAGCCCCGAUUAUGUCGGGGAGGAAGGAAAGCACGACGUCAAGUCAGCACGACCCUUAUACCCUGGGCUACACACACACUACAAUGGCGAAUAACAACGAGUCGCAAGCCGGUAACGGCAAGCUAAUCUCUGAAAUUUCGCCUCAGUUCAGAUUGGGGUCUGAAACCCGACCCCAUGAAGUCGGAAUCGGUAGUAAUCGCGGAUCAGCAUGCCGCGGUGAAUACGUUCUCGCCUCUUGCACACACCGCCCGU
rnacentral:rRNA from 1 species